rnacentral:tRNA from 1 species
GACGUCCAUGGACAUUAUAUCAGCCCUUUCACGGCUGAAACACGGGUUCGAUUCCCGUAGGGGUCACCA